rnacentral:rRNA from 1 species
AUUGAACGCUGGCGGCAGGCUUAACACAUGCAAGUCGAGCGGGGGAAGGUAGCUUGCUACCGGACCUAGCGGCGGACGGGUGAGUAAUGCUUAGGAAUCUGCCUAUUAGCGGGGGACAACAUCUCGAAAGGGAUGCUAAUACCGCACACGUCCUACGGGAGAAAGCAGGGGAUCUUCGGACCUUGCGCUAAUAGAUGAGCCUAAGUCGGAUGAGCUAGUUGGUGGGGUAAAGGCCUACCAAGGCGACGAUCGGUAGCGGGUCUGAGAGUAUGAUCCGCCACACUGGGACUGAGACACGGCCCAGACUCCUACGGGAGGCAGCAGUGGGGAAUAUUGGACAAUGGGGGGAACCCUGAUCCAGCCAUGCCGCGUGUGUGAAGAAGGCCUUAUGGUUGUAAAGCACUUUAAGCGAGGAGGAGGCUACUUUAGUUAAUACCUAGAGAUAGUGGACGUUACUCGCAGAAUAAGCACCGGCUAACUCUGUGCCAGCCGCCGCGGUAA